rnacentral:rRNA from 1 species
UGGGGAAUUUUGGACAAUGGGGGAAACCCUGAUCCAGCCGUCCCGCGUGUGCGAUGAAGGCCUUCGGGUUGUAAAGCACUUUUGGCAGGAAAGAAACGUCAUGGGUUAAUACCCCGUGAAACUGACGGUACCAGCAGAAUAAGCACCGGCUAACUACGUGCCAGCAGCCGCGGUAAUACGUAGGGUGCAAGCGUUAAUCGGAAUUACUGGGCGUAAAGCGUGCGCAGGCGGUUCGGAAAGAAAGAUGUGAAAUCCCAGAGCUCAACUUUGGAACUGCAUUUUUAACUACCGGGCUAGAGUGUGUCAGAGGGAGGUGGAAUUCCGCGUGUAGCAGUGAAAUGCGUAGAUAUGCGGAGGAACACCGAUGGCGAAGGCAGCCUCCUGGGAUAACACUGACGCUCAUGCACGAAAGCGUGGGGAGCAAACAGG